CUGUGGCUCCCUAUAGAAGCCUAGACUUCAGUGUUUCCAGCUCCAGCCCCACCCCCUGGGCACCAGGAGGCUGCGACAGGGUAAGGAGGAGCCACAGCCUGAUGGCACCCUCAAGGCAGAAGUGAGCCAGUCUCUGAAACCAUGUCACUGAAUGGACUAAGACAGACAAUGUCAGCAAAGUGGAGUGUUGCCCUGACAGAGCUAAGAUGGGUGAAGGUGAAGAAAGGCCACACUGAAGAGGAGGAAAAGGCCAAGGAAAGCCUUUGUGGUGAAGAGAGGAUGGAAGGCAGAUGGAAAGCAUGAAAGCACUUGGGGAGAAAGCGCUAAGGCCAAGUGAGGCUGCUUGGGGCGGAGGACACCUUUUCCUGGAGACCAUCAGGACCAUGAGUGUAACAUUUUCAGAGAGAUGCUUCAGCAAUCACUGCCCUGUACCAUACACAUCUCUCCACAUGUCAGUAUGAACCCAAUGACCAUCCCAGUGAAGUCUCCUAUGGACCCAGGUAUAAUUCAACUUGCCACUCCAGAAGGUACAAGCCAGGACCCCUGCCCCCUCCACCCCUGCAGUAUCCAUGUGAAAUUCAAAGAAUGCUGUGGACAGUCUGGGAACCCAGCAGAGAUCUGUCACAAGCACAAAGCCCUCAGAGAGCUCCAAUUCAGGCAAUGCCUACAGAAGAGACAGUGAGGCAGCUUCCAAGCUCCUGGACCAAAGGACCAUUGCUUGAUCUCCCAGGCUCAGGGAUGAGAGAGGAUGCUUCAGGAUGGGCUGUUCCCUGUGUCUUGUCCCUAUCUGACUCAAGCGACAUUCUGGGCUUUGCAUCUUAAAGGUGAUACAGGAACAAGAUGGUGCUCUUGGGAUGGAGAAAAACGUGCUGUGCAUUUAAGAAAAACAUGGAUUCAGGGAGCAGAAGGGAAUGCUGUGGCUUGGAAGGAUCCCUAAGCUUCCCACAUUGGCAAGGAUCCCCAAAGCAACAGUGUGGAGCUGGAGCCUGUGAGGGGUGUCACCACCAUGAGCACGUGUACCUUUCUGGGUUGCUCCAUCAGGUGACACAGCAGAAGAGCCCAUCUUUGGUGUGUGUUUUUGUUGGUUUUAUGCUGGAAAUUAAAUACAGAUGCUAAGCAAGUAAUCUACCCUGAGUUGUAUUUCCACUCUCCAGUCCCUUCAUUUUUAACAUCCUCGCCUCCAGAA